UUGGUUGGUUUGAUUUUUUACGAGAUUUUUACUAAGCCAUACAUACACCUAUAAAGAACAACAUGAUUUUGUGUUUAUUCAUUCAUACAUUACCAAAUAACAACAAAAUUCAUCAUAUUUAAACAAAAACUUCUCAUUAAAUAUACAAAAAUCAGAUUAGACAAAAGUGGAAAAAAGUAGCAUAAUGCAAUAGCAAAAAACAUUAUAAUAAAACAAAAAAAAAGAGGAGAUAAGAGAUUAUAAAAAGAUGAAAAAGAAAGAACAGAAAAGAUGCGAGAUUAGAGAAGAAAUG
rnacentral:lncRNA from 1 species